rnacentral:rRNA from 1 species
UGAGGAAUCUUGCGCAAUGGGGGCAACCCUGACGCAGCAACGCCGCGUGAGUGAAGAAGGCCUUCGGGUCGUAAAGCUCUGUCAAGUGGGAAGAAUAGCCUUAAGACGAAUAAUCUUGAGGUAUGACGGUACCACUGGAGGAAGCACCGGCUAACUCCGUGCCAGCAGCCGCGGUAAUACGGAGGGUGCAAGCGUUAUUCGGAAUUAUUGGGCGUAAAGGGCGUGUAGGCGGCCAGACAAGUCAGAUGUGAAAGCCCGGGGCUCAACCCCGGAAGUGCAUUUGAAACUGUUUGGCUUGAGUGCGGGAGAGGAAAGCGGAAUUCCCAGUGUAGAGGUGAAAUUCGUAGAUAUUGGGAGGAACACCGGUGGCGAAGGCGGCUUUCUGGACCGACACUGACGCUGAGGCGCGAAAGCGUGGGGAGCAAACAGG